AAUGCUGCGCCGGAAUGAACGGAUUAUAUUGAUGUUAUAAAUAAUAAGAAAUUUCUUUUUCUUCUGCAUUA
rnacentral:tRNA from 1 species